rnacentral:rRNA from 1 species
GGGUGCAAGCGUUACUCGGAAUUACUGGGCGUAAAGCGUGCGUAGGUGGUGAGUUAAGUCUGAUGUGAAAUCCCCGGGCUCAACCUGGGAAUGGCAUUGGAUACUGGCUCGCUAGAGUGCGGUAGAGGGUGGUGGAAUUCCCGGUGUAGCAGUGAAAUGCGUAGAGAUCGGGAGGAACAUCUGUGGCGAAGGCGGCCACCUGGACCAACACUGACACUGAGGCACGAAAGCGUGGGGAGCAAACAGG